GAUGUAUGUGUGCUGGGCUAGAGAAACGCACGGCAGAGAGGGAGAGAGAGAGAGAGAGAGAGGGAGAGAGUUUUCCAGAAGAAAGGAAGAAGAAGAGAAGAAGGGCGUUUGGAAGGACACCAAGAUUUAGGCCAAAAAAUUGUGAAAAAAAUAAUUUUAAGGUCACGCGCUAUUGUCUACUUGAUCUGUUUGAUCCGCUUCUGCAACUAUCUGUGAUCAGGCGCAUGACCAAGCUUAGAGGCGUCUACCUGGAAUCAGUUCUUGACAGCCAACCUAUGUGCCUCCCGUGGAGGUUUCGGCCAUGACUAGUGGUUAUGGCUAAGUGCAUAAGUUGAAGUUUUAUUUUCCUGUCCAGUUAGAGAAGUCCUUGUGUAUUGUGUGAAUAAGGCUAAGUCCCUUUUGCCUAGCUUAUAUAUGUAUAUAUAUGAUGAUGUGUAUAUAAGUAUAUAAAAAGGUUAAAAUUUUUCUGUCUCA